CCUCCAUUUCUUGGCAUGCACGGGGUUGCCCAUCCUCAUGUGUGUAAUGUACGGAGGGAAAGCAAAUGCAGCGCUAUGUCUUCGGUGCCGGUGUGUUUAAUGUCUGCCGGUUCUAUCCUCAAUCGCUGCAACACUC
ensembl:snoRNA